CCAAUAGCGUAUAUUAAAGUUGUUGCAGUUAAAAAGCUCGUAGUUGAAUUUCGGGGUUCUACCGUUGGUCGGGCUAACCAGUCUGUACUAGCGUGUAGAAUUUCUACCUUCUGGGGAACCAUCAUGUUAUUAAUUUAGCGUGGUGGGAAACCAGGACCUUUACCUUGAAAAAAUUAGAGUGUUCAAAGCAGGCUUACGUCUGAAUACAUUAGCAUGGAAUAAUAGAAUAGGACGGUGGUCCCGUUUUGUUGGUUUCUGAAUCACCGUAAUGAUUAAUAGGGAUAGUUGGGGGCAUUAGUAUUCAAUUGUCAGAGGUGAAAUUCUUGGAUUUAUUGAAGACUAACUUCUGCGAAAGCAUUUGCCAAGGAUGUUUUCAUUAAUCAAGAACGAAAGUUAGGGGAUCGAAGACGAUCAGAUACCGUCGUAGUCUUAACCAUAAACUAUGCCGACUAGGGAUCGGACGAUGUUAAAUUUUAUUGACUCGUUCGGCGCCUUACG
rnacentral:rRNA from 1 species